GGCUCUGUAGUGUAAUGGUAAGCACUUUGGACUAUGAAUCCAAGAACGUGAGUUCAAAUCUCAGCAGAAUCA